GCUCCAGGUAAAUCCUGGUCCUUCUUGGUGGCUGUAUGAUCUUAACAACAAAACCAAGCCUUUGUGCACAUCUGUGGUUGUGACCAGUUGGAGAGACAUUAGGAGAUGAGAUACUAUGUUCACUCCUCACAGCUGUACCAGGGACCUGAGAUAUUCCGUCACUAUUCUAUGAGAUUUUGGAGAUCCCACCAGUGGUUUUCCGGUGCCAGGGUAUGAGAAGAUAGUCUCCAUGUCCAAACUCACAAUUUCAGAACAAAUUUCAUCAAGAUAAAGGCCUGGGCUGGUGAAUGGUUCCUGCUUUCACUAUUCCAGAUGUCCAGCUCUGUACCUUGCUGCUCUCCUUAAAGCCUGCCUCCCUCUAGAUGGUCUGGCUUGAUGAUAUCCAACCUGACGUGGCCUGAAGAGACAGACAGUGGCUCUUGCUAGCUAAUUAUUGUCAGAUGGAUCGGCAGCCGACCAACGCUUCUGAAACUAUUGUUUUUGGCAAAUGUUCCUCAACAUUUUCCUGGGAGCUAUGGUGCAUUACUCACGAGUGACAGAACCAACGAGCUUCAUCUCCCAAGAGGCUGGUGCAUCUGUUUAAAGGAGCAGGCACUAGGCAGAGCAGCCCCCACCCCACCCUCCAUGGCAGAGUGCAGUGGGGGAAGUUUUCAUAGAAAUGCUUUCUAUAAAGCAUUUUCAUAGAGAAAGCAGGUUCAUAUAGAAAGCACUGGCUGCUGGUUGGAGUGGAGAGAUUGAAGACCCUCAUCUAGGAUCAAGCAACCCCCAGAAAACAAUUUUAAACAUGUCCAUUCAGACAAAAGGAGUCCAAAACCAUAAGAUCCUCUCAGCAUCCUGAACUAAUGUCCAGCUGUUAUCUCGGGAUGGGAUUUCACCAUGUUGUCCAAGCUGGUUUUGAACUCCUGGGGUCAAGAAAUCCACCUGCUUCGGCCUCCCACAGUGCUGGGAUUACAGAUGGGGAAACUGAGGCACAGAGAGGUUAGAGAUAUGCCUGAAGCCACACAGCUUGCAAGUGGUGGAUCUGGGAUUUGAACUUGUCGAUCUGGCUGCAGAGCUGAGCUCUUGGAGACUAGGUUUUACUGCCUAGUAGCAUGUAAGCCUGGAACUGCCGGCAGUCAUUUUGUAAGUUUGCCGAGUGAACCUCAAUGAGCAUGAAGCAGAGAGGAAAGCAGUACUAAGAGAUGCAAAAGAGUCUGUGUUCCAGCAAUGGGAUCUGAAGUCCUGGAUCAAACCUUACCUGGAGACAAGAUUUACCCAUCAGACAUGCCAGUUAUAAGACCCAAAUUUACCCUUUUUGGGGGAUUGAGUUUGAAUGAGUAUUUUUGUUUGUUUGUUUUGGCAUCAGAAAGACUCCUGAUUAAUACACAGUGUGACGCUGACCAA
ensembl:lncRNA novel transcript